GUCUGUAGCUCAGUGGUGGAACACCUGCUCUGCGUGCAGAAGGUCCCAGGUUCAAUCCCUGGCAUCUCCA
rnacentral:tRNA from 1 species